GUGGAGGUGGAGUCUAGCCAGAAUGCCAGAAGCUUGGGGCUUUGUGUGACUUACAGUCACAGAAGUAUGGAUUUGGGGGCUCUGUGGUGUCGGGCAUCUGUCUUGGGAACGUGGCUCACUGUUCCGUCCCUUGUAGAGUUUUCUACUGGAUCUUUGGAGCACGCCUUGCUCAACCAAAACAGGCUGCCUUUCAAGGUCCAUUCCCGACUCCUGGACACUCCAUCCCCCCCCCACUGCCCCCCGCCCACAGGUAGAGGGGAGAAGGGGAGAGAGACAGGGACAGAGAUUGGGGCUUGAGGAGAGAUUAAUUAGCAGCCAUUUUAAUAGAUGGGAACAGACAGGACCUUCCAUAAUUCUCUGUGGAGAACUCAGAGGCGUCCUUUCACACAAGAUGUCAAUGACAGGCACAGCCGAUGCAUGCUGGAUACUGCAGAGCAAGGACAUUCUCCUCAAAAGGUCUCAGCUCACCACCCAUCGGGCCACACUAAGGAGACACAUACAGUAUCAAAAAGACCCUAGUGUUUAGAUGUCAAAGUUGCUUUGCCAAAUGGAAUGUGGGGAGAGAUUCCCAAAGGAAAGAUUAUAACUAAGAAAAUGUCCUAUGUCUCCUAAAGUAUGAACUGGUGUUUCAGUCAUAUCGAUCAAUGGGCACAGAAGAGAUAGCAGCGUGUUGGGAACCAGGAAGAAGGUCAAAGAAUCAGAAGAAAAUACCCAAGGCGAGAGGAGAAGAUGCCUCUGGAAGCGGACUUCAAGUAUCCUGUAGUGUAAGAGGCUGACCUUCCAGUGACAAUGGUGAUCUCAGUUCUUCUGGCUUACUCUCACCACAGUGUGCUCCUUCAUCAUGGAGAUGUCUGUCUUGAGUCCCUGCAUGGGUCUCCUCUCAAGGACAAUAUGCUGACUCAGUCCAUGGGCUUGUGUCGCUUUGAGUGAUAAUUAGUAGUUCAUAUGCAGAGUUAACCUUCUGGUCUUCUGGAUUCAAAUCAAGGGCUCAGCUGGGAUGGCUGCGACCUGGAGGGGAUGCAGCAUCUUGUUAGGUUUGUCAGAUUGUAAUGGUUGGAGCCUAGGCUGACCUAAGAGAGCACUCCCAAGGUCAUUCACAUGGAUGCUAAGCAGAUGAUAGAAUCGUCCCUGGAUUCAAGAGAACACAAUGAACUGAGUGAGCCCUUUCCACCUCAAGCCUGAGGAAGGAAACUAUGGUGAGAACCCUGCCCAAGA
rnacentral:lncRNA from 1 species